AGAAUUAUAUACAUGAUUUGAUAACAAAAGAGAAAAUGUACAUUUAUGGGUUCAUUCCUGUUCUGGUAAAGUGCAUUUUCUAUUGAAUAGGGCAGAAAGCCGAGAAAGACCAUGGGAGUAUGGAACAGCCGGGAACACUAAAGGAAUGCAGACACAUAGACGCCUAGAAAUGACUGGACAUACAAAGGUCAGAGUGAUAUAUGAAGGAGGGAGUCAGCCAAAUGACCCCAGAUGAAUUACAGGUAUCAGUUACAUCGCAAGGGAGACACAAGUCUGUUUAAUCUUAUACAAACAUAUGAAGAGAAGGCGACCAGAACAGCUAGUCACAGGAAAGGGGGAUGUAUAUUAUCUUUAGGUCAAAAGAAGGGUCUUGUAAUCAUUUUUAAUCUGACUGAAAGCAGAUGUGGGCGUUACUGGGCUGAACAAGCAGGAAGCACGGAUUGGGAUGUAACUUAAUUUGCAUAUGGGAGGGACUUAUAUGGUAGGUGUAUAACUCAGAGCGAGGGCUCUGAAAAAAAGUGUGUGUGUUUCGCGGACGGCUCCGGCUUAUGAUACUGUUGUAUUAAAAGUCUACAUUGAUUUUCAUAAAGUUCUUGGAUGUGUCAUUUUUUAACCGAUUUGCCACUACAGACUUGGCGAGCGUUGCCAGGAGUGAUGAGAGACCGGGGCGUUCCUGGCUGACGGCGGGGUCUUUUGAGCGAUCUGGCAAACACGGGUGGCCACCUAACUAUAGCAAGUAUGUAUGUUUCCAGGAGAAGAGUACAUAAGACGCCAGAUGGAAGGGCAUGGGCUGAAUUCUGGAGACUGAGUGUACAUCAAGAUACACCAGGCUGGGGAUAUACUUCUUACAGCACCUGCAGUGGUAAAGAUCGUCAUGUCUCUCUUUGAUGGGUGCAUAAGUUUCACAAGAAGUAAGGUCCAGCUGAAUAAUGGGUGAGCUUGAAAACACCAUGACAGAGGACGUGAAACAAAACAAAAGAGAGAGAGUGAGAGACUAGAUUCCACUGUAGAUAUACUGGGUUGAGUUUGGGGGUUAUUUGGUUUAUUUGAUAAUGUAUCAUGUGAAUAAGGAUAGAUAUUAGGUUAGUUGGACCUAAACUACAUGUUGAAGGCUCGAUGUGGAAGCCCAUUCAGUGUUGAAUUACUUCAAGAAGAAAUAAUGUUGAUUAAGGUUAUGCACAUGCUUAUCAGUUGAUAUAGAGCAAAUAGGGAACUAAGUAAAAAAAAAUGACAUGAUUUGGGAACACCUCUCAGAACCUGUGGCCGAAAGGGGAAGACUGGAUAAAAGCAUGAGGAAGCUAAUUAGGGCCUCCAUUUUUGUAGAGUCCAGCAGAAACACAUCCUGAAAGCAUAGAGUCGGGUGAAGAGAGAGUGGGAAUUGUCAUGGUCUUAGAUUUCAGUAUUUAUGAAUACAGUCAUGCAUAACACAUAACAUUGUCAAUACUGUUAUGUUGUGUCUUUUGUUUUACAAGUCUUUUGUUUAGGAAACCAGAUGGAGAAGGGUUCGCCAGCUUCAGCUGGAAUGUCAGUUUGUGUGAUGAGUGAUGGAAGUAAGAGAAUGUAUGGUGUAAUCGUAGAACAGAGGCCAUAAGUCUUUAAGUAUGAAUGCCCCACAGAAAGAAGGCAGAAACCUGAACCAGGACGAGAGGUUCCACAUCUGAUGAUCCAAGGAGACCAGAAGGCCCUCUCCCAGUGAUACCAGGAGAUCCAGUCUACGGUCGAGUGUUCCGAAGGAAGUGGGAUCAGCCGAGGAGAGAAGGACCCUACGAGGUGGCAACGGCCACAAUCACGGCCGUCCAAGUGAAAGGAAGCAAGACGUGGUAUCAUCUAAACCACUGCACCCGAGUCCCGACGGAGAGAAGGACACAACCAUACAGAGAUGAGGACACAGAGGAUGCUGAUUCACCAGAGGGGACCCCGGAGGGAGCAGGAGCAGAGGAAUCGAUCAAAGCCCCGGGGAGGACUCAAGAAAAUGGCAGACCAGAUACAACGAGUGCAUCAGCUAACACACUCAGAAGAAGCACCAGGGGAAAAGAGCCUGAAAAGAAAAGAGCCUGAAAAGAAAAGAGACAAACGACCAAAGUUUCCUCCAGUAUGGCCAGAAAGCCCAGAAGUGGGAGGGGGUAACAUGUCUGCCACUCCUGAUGAUAUACCUGUUGGGGCAGGCCUCUUUGACAGAAGCACUCUACAGAGGGGCUCCGAGGUAUUGCCUAAAGAAUGGGAACAUCUCUUCCCUGAAAUGGACACCUUCCAAAUGGAAGCCCAGUCCGGCCUGAGGAGGGAGCUUCAGGGGAGGAAAGAAGGAGAGACCCCACUAACGAGAAGGAAAAGUCGAGUGAGCUGAAGAAAAUGGCAAUUUCCCCAAAAAUUGACUUUUCAGCUCUUACCUGAUCUCCAUAAUGAACCAUUGGAAUUAGGACCACGAAA